rnacentral:tRNA from 1 species
CAGGUUAAUAUCUUAGUGGUUUCUUCGUUUACAUUGAAGGGUUUGCUGUGCGAUUCAGUGUGGCCUGA